rnacentral:sRNA from 1 species
AUUGGACGAACAAAAA